rnacentral:rRNA from 1 species
AGAGUUUGAUCCUGGCUCAGGAUGAACGCUAGCUACAGGCUUAACACAUGCAAGUCGAGGGGCAUCAGGAAGAAAGCUUGCUUUCUUUGCUGGCGACCGGCGCACGGGUGAGUAACACGUAUCCAACCUGCCGAUGACUCGGGGAUAGCCUUUCGAAAGAAAGAUUAAUACCCGAUGGUAUAUCUGAAAGGCAUCUUUCAGCUAUUAAAGAAUUUCGGUCAUUGAUGGGGAUGCGUUCCAUUAGGUUGUUGGCGGGGUAACGGCCCACCAAGCCAUCGAUGGAUAGGGGUUCUGAGAGGAAGGUCCCCCACAUUGGAACUGAGACACGGUCCAAACUCCUACGGGAGGCAGCAGUGAGGAAUAUUGGUCAAUGGACGAGAGUCUGAACCAGCCAAGUAGCGUGAAGGAUGACUGCCCUAUGGGUUGUAAACUUCUUUUAUACGGGAAUAAAGUUAGCCACGUGUGGCUUUUUGUAUGUACCGUAUGAAUAAGGAUCGGCUAACUCCGUGCCAGCAGCCGCGGUAAUACGGAGGAUCCGAGCGUUAUCCGGAUUUAUUGGGUUUAAAGGGAGCGUAGGCGGAUGCUUAAGUCAGUUGUGAAAGUUUGCGGCUCAACCGUAAAAUUGCAGUUGAUACUGGGUGUCUUGAGUACAGUAGAGGCAGGCGGAAUUCGUGGUGUAGCGGUGAAAUGCUUAGAUAUCACGAAGAACUCCGAUUGCGAAGGCAGCUUGCUGGACUGUAACUGACGCUGAUGCUCGAAAGUGUGGGUAUCAAACAGGAUUAGAUACCCUGGUAGUCCACACAGUAAACGAUGAAUACUCGCUGUUUGCGAUAUACAGUAAGCGGCCAAGCGAAAGCGUUAAGUAUUCCACCUGGGGAGUACGCCGGCAACGGUGAAACUCAAAGGAAUUGACGGGGGCCCGCAC